GGACGACAGGAUAUGGAGAAGCAGAGGGCUACCGCUCGCUCAGGCGAAUAGCCAAGAUCCUCUGAUCCCUCAUGGCUUUUAUUGGGGGUUCAUGACAGAAAAAAUAGCACUGCGUUGAUUGUUCACUGCUGCGGCUUUAUGCGAUCUUCUGCAGACUAAAUAUAGAACAAAGCAAAGUAUCAAUACUAGCAAUAACAACCCUGAGGAGGUUUCCAUUAAUGCUUGAAUAUGUGGAAUAGGAUUCAUGUUCUGUAUCUCAUUUAUAAGACCUUGUAAAAUUUGCUGUCCGGUUACCUCCUCUAAUCUCUUUUGAAAUGUUGUGUGAAUAUGAUCUUAAAGAUCAAUAAUUUCUUGUGUUAAAUUGGCAUGAUUCAAUAAGUGUUUCUUAACCUUAUCCCAAGGAAAAGCUGUCUCAUUGUAAGGCACAAGGGUGAUACACAGACCAGUAUGGUUCCAAUCACAUUUUAACUGUAAUCGCCUUUGCAGGCUUACAAUUUGGUCCCCUAAUAAAGCUACUGUUUGUUCAA